rnacentral:rRNA from 1 species
UGAACGCUGGCGGUAUGCUUAACACAUGCAAGUCGAGCGAGAAAGUUCUUCGGAACGAGUACAGCGGCGGACGGGUGAGUAAUACAUAGGAAUCUACCCAGUAGCGGGGGACAACCUGGUGAAAACCAGGCUAAUACCGCAUACGCCCUACGGGGGAAAGCAGGGGAUCUUCGGACCUUGCACUAUUGGAUGAGCCUAUGUCAGAUUAGCUAGUUGGUGGGGUAAUGGCCCACCAAGGCGACGAUCUGUAGCUGGUUUGAGAGGAUGAUCAGCCACACUGGGACUGAGACACGGCCCAGACUCCUACGGGAGGCAGCAGUGGGGAAUAUUGGACAAUGGGGGAAACCCUGAUCCAGCAAUACCGCGUGUGUGAAGAAGGCCUGCGGGUUGUAAAGCACUUUCAAUUGUGAAGAUUGGUUACUUGGUUAAUACCCUUGUAGCCUGACGUUAACUUUAGAAGAAGCACCGGCUAACUCA